ACAAUAACACUCUGACGGAGUUGAGCUUUGCUACUGGUGCAAAUGUCUCUUCAUAAUCAAUGCCAUAGGAUUGAGUAAAUCCUUUAGCUACUAGUCGAGCCUUGAACCUGUUUAUACUUCCAUCUGGAUUGUGCUUCACGGUAAAUAUCCACUUGCAUCCAACAGGCCUCUUACCCUCUGGUAAUUCUGAGAUUUCCCAUGUCCCAUUUUUCUCCAAUGCUUGUAUUUCUUCCUGAACAGCAGUCUUCCAUUCAGGUUGUUGAAGUGCUUCUUGGAUGUUGGAUGGGAUACGAUCAUCUUCAAGAGAAGUGAUGAACGCUUGAAAAUUCUGUGAAAGCUUUCCAUAGGACACAUGAUUACUGAUUGGAUGCUGAGUGCAGGAUCUUACACCUUUCCUUAAAGCAAUGGGUUGAUCAAGAUCAUCAAGGUCAUUAUUGGAAUUUAGAUCAUAAAUUGUGUUACCUGGUUGUGAGUUUGGGUUGCUUGGAUCCUGGUCCAAUUCUUGGUUCUGCUCAGUUGACUCAGGUAUGACAGAAGGGACAUCCAAGGAAUUGUUUUCGGGGACAGAAAGAGUAGUAUCUGUUUGAGGAGGCAGUGAUGAACUCAAAGGAGAAGUAGUGCUGAUUUCGGUUUCCCAGAAUUGGAAUUCAUCUGUGGACCAGUUCUCCCCCUGAAUUGCAAUUUUGGGGUAGAAGGGUUGAUUUUCGAAGAAAGUGACAUCCAUGGAAAUGUAGAAUUUCUUGGUUGUUGGAGAGUAGCACUUGUAUCCUUUUUGGUUUGGUGAGUACCCGAGAAAGAUGCAUUUAGUGGCUGUCGGAUCAAGUUUACUACGUAGGGACUUAUGGAUGUGAACGAAAGCAGUACAACCAAAGACUUUGAUUGGGAUAGACGAGAUUAUUCGAGCGGAUGGAUAUGCAGCGAGGAGGAUUUGACACGGGGUUUUAAAUUGAAGAAUCCUAGAAGGCAUUCGGUUGAUCAAGUAGGUUGCUGUGAGUACAGCUUCACCCCAUAAUUGUUUAGGCACGUUUGAAGCUAUCAUGAGGGAUCGUGCAACCUCCAUCAAAUGUCUAUUUUUCCUUUCUGCAACUCCAUUUUGCUGUGGAGUAUCAAUGCACGAGCUUUGAUGUACGAUGCCAUUCUCCAGAAGAUAUGACCCAAGAGUGUUGUGAUAGUA